CGCGGCCUAUCAGCUUGUUGGUGGGGUAAUGGCCUACCAAGGCGGCGACGGGUAGCCGGCCUGAGAGGGUGGACGGCCACAUUGGGACUGAGAUACGGCCCAGACUCCUACGGGAGGCAGCAGUGGGGAAUAUUGCACAAUGGGGGCAAGCCUGAUGCAGCGACGCCGCGUGGGGGAUGACGGCCUUCGGGUUGUAAACUCCUUUCGCUAGGGACGAAGCUUUUUGUGACGGUACCUAGAUAAGAAGCACCGGCUAACUACGUGCCAGCAGCCGCGGUAAUACGUAGGGUGCGAGCGUUGUCCGGAAUUACUGGGCGUAAAGGGCUCGUAGGUGGUUUGUCGCGUCGUCUGUGAAAUUCCGGGGCUUAACUCCGGGCGUGCAGGCGAUACGGGCAUAACUUGAGUACUGUAGGGGUAACUGGAAUUCCUGGUGUAGCGGUGAAAUGCGCAGAUAUCAGGAGGAACACCGAUGGCGAAGGCAGGUUACUGGGCAGUUACUGACGCUGAGGAGCGAAAGCAUGGGUAGCGAACAGGAUUAGAUACCCUGGUAGUCCAUGCCGUAAACGGUGGGCGCUAGGUGUGAGGGUCUUUUCACGACUUUCGUGCCGUAGCUAACGCAUUAAGCGCCCCGCCUGGGGAGUACGG
rnacentral:rRNA from 1 species